AGUGUGUAGAGUUGGAGGAAGUGCUCUGAAAGCAGCGCUUGAGCUCUUCCUGCAGUUGCAGGGAUGAAUGCAUGAAUGCAAGAGAAGAAAAUGGCGAUCGAGCAGGACAAAUGUUUCCCCUCCUAGACUCUGCAAAUGUGUUGAAUUUCUAUAGCCUUAUUAUUUGCUUUCAUUUAAUCUCUACUGCACUUUAAACUACAAGAGAGAAUUGGAUGCUAUUGCCACCAAAGACAUUGAAGAGAAGCAACACAGGGAAAUCAUUCGAAACACGGAUGGAGAGUGGACGGAGGAAAGUGUAGAGCUCAUUGGAAUGACGAUAAGGAAGAAGGGGCUGGU